UUUUGCAGGGUAAGCUCGAAUGGCAUUU
rnacentral:sRNA from 1 species